GAGGUCUUAGCUUAGUUAAAGUGUUUGAGUUGCAUUCAGGAGAUGUAUAUUAGGAAUUAUACAGGCUUUC
rnacentral:tRNA from 1 species